rnacentral:misc_RNA from 1 species
CGAAAUGCGAAAGUUAAUGCGAAUUGCAGAAUUCAGUGAAUCAUCGAGUCUUUGAACGCACAUUGCGCCCGCCGGUAUUCCGGCGGGCAUGCCUGUCCGAGCGUCUUUUCACAAUGAAAUCGAGCCCGUGCGUACCCGGAGGGGGUUCACCCCGUGGGACGUCAAGGGCGUCGGUGUUGGACCGUCCGGCCGUCUCGGUCGGACGUCUCCUGAACGCAUCCACCGGUGGUCGUGACCGACCGAGGCCGGAGUCGCCGGACGGCGUGACUCGGGUCAAAGUCGAAGCGCCUGGUGCAGUUGAUCGGGCGCCCCUGGGCCCGAAAGUCCACCGUUCGACCUCGGAUCAAGGUAGGGUUACCCGCUGAACUUAAGC